rnacentral:rRNA from 1 species
GAUCUGGUCAGGAUGAACGCUAGCGACAGGCUUAACACAUGCAAGUCGAGGGGCAUCACGGGAGUAGCAAUACAACUGGUGGCGACCGGCGCACGGGUGAGUAACGCGUAUGCAACCUACCUAUCAGAGGGGAAUAACCCGGCGAAAGUCGGACUAAUACCGCAUAAAACAGGGGCACCGCAUGGUGAUAUUUGUUAAAGAAAUUCGCUGAUAGAUGGGCAUGCGUUCCAUUAGGUAGCUGGUGAGGUAACGGCUCACCAAGCCGACGAUGGAUAGGGGAACUGAGAGGUUGGUCCCCCACACUGGUACUGAGACACGGACCAGACUCCUACGGGAGGCAGCAGUGAGGAAUAUUGGUCAAUGGGCGGGAGCCUGAACCAGCCAAGUCGCGUGAAAGGAAGAAGGAUCUAUGGUUCGUAAACUUCUUUUGCAGGGGAAUAAAGUGCAGGACGUGUCCUGUUUUGUAUGUACCCUGAGAAUAAGGAUCGGCUAACUCCGUGCCAGCAGCCGC